CUUUGUCUCUAUUUUGUUGGUUUCUAGGAACAAAGUAAUGAUUAACAGGGACAGUUGGGGGCAUUCAUAUUUAAUUGUCAGAGGUGAAAUUCUUGGAUUUCUUAAAGAUGAACUGCUGCGAAAGCGUUUGCCAAGGAUGUUUUCAUUAAUCAAGAACGAAAGUUAGGGGAUCGAAGACGAUCAGAUACCGUCGUAGUCUUAACCAUAAACUAUGCCGACCAGGGAUUGGAAGACGUUAAAUACAUACGACUCCUCCAGCACCUUGUGAGAAAUCAUAAGUCUUUGGGUUCCGGGGGGAGUAUGGUCGCAAGGCUGAAACUUAAAGGAAUUGACGGAAGGGCACCACCAGGUGUGGAGCCUGCGGCUUAAUUUGACUCAACACGGGGAAAC
rnacentral:rRNA from 1 species